GCGUAUCUAUCUAUACAUACAAAUAUGUGCAUAAUGGUAUGUACACAUGUAUGUAUUUAAAGAUAUGUAUGGA
rnacentral:pre_miRNA from 15 species